CUGAAUAGGGCGCUUAGUCAGAUGCUGCAGACCCGAAACGAAGUGAUCUAUCCAUGAGCAAGUUGAAGCUAGUGUAAGAACUAGUGGAGGACUGAACCCAUAGGCGUUGAAAAGCCCCGGGAUGACUUGUGGAUAGGGGUGAAAGGCCAAUCAAACUUCGUGAUAGCUGGUUCUCUCCGAAAUAUAUUUAGGUAUAGCGUUGUGUCGUAAUAUAAGGGGGUAGAGCACUGAAUGGGCUAGGGCAUACACCAAUGUACCAAACCCUAUCAAACUCCGAAUACCUUAUAUGUAAUCACAGCAGUCAGGCGGCGAGUGAUAAAAUCCGUCGUCAAGAGGGAAACAACCCAGACUACCAGCUAAGGUCCCUAAAUCUUACUUAAGUGGAAAACGAUGUGAAGUUACUUAAACAACCAGGAGGUUGGCUUAGAAGCAGCCAUCCUUUAAAGAAAGCGUAAUAGCUCACUGGUCUAGUGAUUUUGCGCGGAAAAUAUAACGGGGCUAAAGUAAGUACCGAAGCUGUAGACUUGCGCACAACUUAGAUUAUUUAAGUUUAGAAUAUGAGAAACUAAGUUAUAU
rnacentral:rRNA from 1 species